rnacentral:rRNA from 1 species
GAUGAACGCUGGCGGCGUGCCUAAUACAUGCAAGUCGAGCGAAUGGAUUAAGAGCUUGCUCUUAUGAAGUUAGCGGCGGACGGGUGAGUAACACGUGGGUAACCUGCCCAUAAGACUGGGAUAACUCCGGGAAACCGGGGCUAAUACCGGAUAACAUUUUGAACCGCAUGGUUCGAAAUUGAAAGGCGGCUUCGGCUGUCACUUAUGGAUGGACCCGCGUCGCAUUAGCUAGUUGGUGAGGUAACGGCUCACCAAGGCAACGAUGCGUAGCAGACCUGAGAGGGUGAUCGGCCAAACUGGAACUGAGACACGGCCCAGACUCCUACGGGAGGCAGCAGUAGGGAAUCUUCCGCAAUGGACGAAAGUCUGACGGAGCAACGCCGCGUGAGUGAUGAAGGCUUUCGGGUCGUAAAACUCUGUUGUUAGGGAAGAACAAGUGCUAGUUGAAUAAGCUGACACCUUGACGGUACCUAACCAGAAAGCCACGGCUAACUACGUGCCAGCCGCCGCAGUAA